CAACCUGAGAGUUUGAUCCUGGCUCAGAGCGAACGCUGGCGGCAGGCCUAACACAUGCAAGUCGAACGAACUCUUCGGAGUUAGUGGCGGACGGGUGAGUAACACGUGGGAACGUGC
rnacentral:rRNA from 1 species